rnacentral:rRNA from 1 species
UACGUAGGGUGCAAGCGUUGUCCGGAAUUAUUGGGCGUAAAGAGCUUGUAGGCGGUUUGUCGCGUCUGCUGUGAAAACUCGGGGCUUAACCCCGGGCCUGCAGUGGGUACGGGCAGACUAGAGUGCGGUAGGGGAGACUGGAAUUCCUGGUGUAGCGGUGAAAUGCGCAGAUAUCAGGAGGAACACCGGUGGCGAAGGCGGGUCUCUGGGCCGAUACUGACGCUGAGGUGCGAAAGCGUGGGGAGCAAACAGG